rnacentral:rRNA from 1 species
AGCGAACGCUGGCGGCAGGCUUAACACAUGCAAGUCGAGCGGGCACUCUCGGGUGUCAGCGGUGGACGGGUGAGUAACGCGUGGGAACGUGCCCUCUGGUUCGGAAUAACUCAGGGAAACUUGAGCUAAUACCGGAUACGCCCGUUUGGGGAAAGGCUUGCUGCCGGAGGAUCGGCUCGCGUCUGAUUAGCUGGUUGGUGAGGUAACGGCUCACCAAGGCGACGAUUAGUAGAUGGACUGAGAGGAGGAUCAGCGACACUGGGACUGGGACACGGCCCAGACUCUUACGAGAGGCAGGAGAGGUGUAUAUUGGACAGGGGGCGCAAGGCUGAACCAGCCAGGCCGGGAGAAUGAUGUUGGCCUUAGGGAUGUAAAGCUCUUUUAUCCGGGACGAUAAUGACGGUACCGGAUGAAUAAGCCCCGGCUAACUACGUG